CGGGACGGGUGAGUAACGCGUGGAUAACCUGCCUCACACUGGGGGAUAACAGUUAGAAAUGACUGCUAAUACCGCAUAAGCGCACAGUACCGCAUGGUACAGUGGGAAAAACUCCGGUGGUGUGAGAUGGAUCCGCGUCUGAUUAGCCAGUUGGCGGGGUAACGGCCCACCAAAGCGACGAUCAGUAGCCGACCUGAGAGGGUGACCGGCCACAUUGGGACUGAGACACGGCCCAA
rnacentral:rRNA from 1 species